GCCGGUUUCCCUAGAUGAUCUUCACCGGUUGUCCUGGGUGACCGGCACGUUUACUUUGAAAAAAUUAGAGUGCUCAAAGCAGGCGUGUAGUCUGAAUAAUGGUGCAUGGAAUAAUGGAAUAGGACUUCGUUUCUAUUUUGUUGGUUUUCGGAACACGAGGUAAUGAUUAAGAGGGACAGACGGGGGCAUUCGUAUUGCGACGCUAGAGGUGAAAUUCUUGGACCGUCGCAAGACGAACUACUGCGAAAGCAUUUGCCAAGAAUGUUUUCAUUAAUCAAGAACGAAAGUUAGAGGUUCGAAGGCGAUCAGAUACCGCCCUAGUUCUAACCAUAAACGAUGCCAACCAGCGAUCCGCCUGAGUUCCUCAAAUGACUCGGCGGGCAGCUUCCGGGAAACCAAAGUGUUUGGGUUCCGGGGGAAGUAUGGUUGCAAAGCUGAAACUUAAAGGAAUUGACGGAAGGGCACCACCAGGAGUGGAGCCUGCGGUUUAAUUUGACUCAACACGGGAAAACUUACCCGGCCCGGACACUGGAAGGAUUGACAGAUUAAGAGCUCUUUCUUGAUUCAGUGGGUGGUGGUGCAUGGCCGUUCUUAGUUGGUGGAGCGAUUUGUCUGGUUAAUUCCGAUAACGAGCGAGACUCUAGCCUACUAAAUAGGCGUCCCGAUCACUUCUGUCGGGCGUUCUUCUUAGAGGGACAAGUGGCGUUUAGCCGCACGAGACAGAGCGAUAACAGGUCUGAGAUGCCCUUAGAUGUCCGGGGCCGCACGCGCGCUACACUGAAGGAAUCAGCGUGUGUUUUCCCUGUCCGGUAGGACUGGGUAACCCGUUCAACCUCCUUCGUGAUAGGGAUAGGGGCUUGUAAUUGUUCCCCUUGAACGAGGAAUUCCCAGUAAGCGCGAGUCAUAAGCUCGUGUUGAUUACGUCCCUGCCCUUUGUACACACCGCCCGUCGCUACUACCGAUUGAAUGAUUUAGUGAGGUCUUCGGACUGGCGCUCGGAGCGGCCGCAAGGUGGCGUCGG
rnacentral:rRNA from 1 species